rnacentral:tRNA from 1 species
CGGGGCGUAGCGCAGCUUGGUAGCGCGUCAGGCUGGGGGUCUGAAGGCCAUGGGUUCGAAUCCCGUCGUCCCGA